AACGGCGAGUGAAGCGGCAAUAGCUCAAAUUUGAAAUCUGGCUCUUUCAGGGUCCGAAUUGUAAUUUGUAGAGGAUGUUUCGGCUUCGGCUCUGGUCUAAGUUCCUUGGAACAGGACGUCAUAAAGGGUGAGAAUCCCGUAUGUGACCGGUGGUCUUCGCCAUGUGAAACUCCUUCGACGAGUCGAGUUGUUUGGGAAUGCAGCUCUAAAUGGGAGGUAAAUUUCUUCUAAAGCUAAAUAUUGGCCAGAGACCGAUAGCGCACAAGUAGAGUGAUCGAAAGAUGAAAAGCACUUUGGAAAGAGAGUUAAAAAGUACGUGAAAUUGUUGAAAGGGAAGCGCUUGCAACCAGACUUGCUCGCGGUUGUUCAGCCGGUCUUUUGGCCGGUGCACUCUUCCGUGAUCAGGCCAGCAUCAGUUUGGACGGUCGGAUAAAGGCUUGGGGAAUGUAGCUUCCUUCGGGAAGUGUUAUAGCCCUUUGUGUAAUGCGACCCGUCUGGACUGAGGUCCGCGCUUCGGCUAGGAUGCUGGCGUAAUGGUUGUAAGCGGCCCGUCUUGAAACACGGACCAAGGAGUCUAACAUCUAUGCGAGUGUUUGGGUGUCAAACCCGUGCGCGUAAUGAAAGUGAACGGAGGUGGGAACCUUAGGGUGCACCAUCGACCGAUCCUGAUGUCUUCGGAUGGAUUUGAGUAUGAGCAUAGCUGUUGGGACCCGAAAGAUGGUGAACUAUGCCUGAAUAGGGUGAAGCCAGAGGAAACUCUGGUGGAGGCUCGCAGCGGUUCUGACGUGCAAAUCGAUCGUCAAAUUUGGGUAUAGGGGCGAAAGACUAAUCGA
rnacentral:rRNA from 1 species